rnacentral:rRNA from 1 species
UACGAAGGGGGCUAGCGUUGUUCGGAAUCACUGGGCGUAAAGGGCGCGUAGGCGGCUUUAUAAGUCGGGGGUGAAAGCCUGUGGCUCAACCACAGAAUUGCCUUCGAUACUGUAGAGCUUGAGACCGGAAGAGGUAAGUGGAACUGCGAGUGUAGAGGUGAAAUUCGUAGAUGUUCGCAAGAACACCAGUGGCGAAGGCGGCUUACUGGUCCGGUUGACGCUGAGGCGCGAAAGCGUGGGGAGCAAACAGG